rnacentral:misc_RNA from 1 species
GAUGAAGAACGCAGCGAACUGCGAUAAGUAAUGUGAAUUGCAGAAUUCAGUGAAUCAUCGAGUCUUUGAACGCACAUUGCGCCCCCUGGCAUUCCGGGGGGCAUGCCUGUCCGAGCGUCAUUGCUGCCCUUCAAGCCCGGCUUGUGUGUUGGGUCGUCGUCCCCCCCGGGGGACGGGCCCGAAAGGCAGCGGCGGCACCGCGUCCGGUCCUCGAGCGUAUGGGGCUUUGUCACCCGCUCGAUUAGGGCCGGCCGGGCGCCAGCCGGCGUCUCCAACCUUCAAUUUUACCAGGUUGACCUCGGAUCAGGUAGGGAUACCCGCUGAACUUAAGCAUAUCAAUAAGCGGAGGA